rnacentral:rRNA from 1 species
CCUACGGGCGUCAGCAGUGAGGAAUAUUGGGCAAUGGGGGCAACCCUGACCCAGCCAUGCCGCGUGAGUGAAGGAGGUCUUCGGAUUGUAAAGCUCUUUCGGACGUGACGAUGAUGACGGUAGCGUCUCAAGAAGCACCGGCAAACUUCGUGCCAGCAGCCGCGGUAAUACGAAGGGUGCGAGCGUUGUUCGGAAUUACUGGGCGUAAAGGGUGCGUAGGCUGUGAGGUAAGUCAGCGGUGAAAUGCCCCCGCUCAACGGGGUGAAGUGCCAUUGAUACUGCCUUGCUGGAAUGCGGAUGCCGUGGGAGGAAUGUGUGGUGUAGCGGUGAAAUGCAUAGAUAUCACACAGAACACCGAUUGCGAAGGCAUCUCACGAAUCCGCGAUUGACGCUGAUGCACGAAAGCGUGGGUAUCAAACAGGAUUAGAUACCCUGGUAGUC